rnacentral:snoRNA from 1 species
CACCUCCUGUUGCUUACCACAGACUGUGUUGUACUUUGCACAGACUGUAUAGAAAAAGGAGGCAGAGAGAUCUUCCUCUUAUACACCUCAGCCAGGAGCUUGCCUGUGCUCUAGCUGUAUUGUGAAAGGGGAGACAGUA